rnacentral:other from 1 species
AAAGUCCUAAGGUGUUAGUUAAACAGCUUAAGUUUUGAGCCAACACCAUUUUUACGGGAGCACCGGGUUUCAGCUUGGCGUGCAUGCUUUAUCCAUUUUGAUAAAGAGCGACAAAAAGUUGAAUAGGGCACCCACCUGCGAGGGCAGGUUCAAAACUUAAGCGGGACGGCACAGUUGGGACUUGA